rnacentral:misc_RNA from 1 species
UGAGACAAAGGACUGAAACAUUAAGCUUACCUUUGUUUGUUCUUCUUCUGUCGUCUUGAACAGGGGCACUAAUGAAGAAAAGUAUGAUCCGUUAUUAUUUCGCAAAUAAUUUGUUGACAAAAAUUCCGUCGGACUGUGCAGUGUGACGUCAUAGGUCGGUGGUGGAAGAGAGGUAGGAGAGGAAAAUGGCGAGUUGUUGCUGUGGGUUGUCCAGUGAUCCGUUGUAGUAACUGCGUGAACAGAGACAUAGACAAAGUGUGUGUUAAAUGUAGUUGUCGAAGAUAGUGAUUUGAAGUGCUGAAGACGACACCAUGACAGCAAACAUGUAUAGAGUUGGAGAUUAUGUAUAUUUCGAGACAUCAUCUACUUCGCCAUAUCAAAUUAGGAGGAUAGAGGAAUUAAACAAGACGCCGAACGGAAACGUAGAAGCUAAAGUGAUGUGCUUCUUCAGGAGACGAGAUCUGCCAAAUACUCUAAUCAUGCUGGCUGACAAACACCAAUGUGCCUUAGAAGAGGAAUGUGACAGCCGUGACAAGGAUCACCAGCUGUUGAAUGGAAAACAGCGUCAUCAGCUAAAGCAUAGAGAAUUAUUCCUGUCACGUCAGGUUGAAACGCUACCAGCCACACACAUUAGGGGGAAAUGUUCUGUUACCUUACUAAAUGAGACUGAGUCUUUGCUCAGCUAUCUCAAUAAAGACGAUACUUUCUUCUAUUGUCUGGUAUUUGAUCCAACACACAAAACACUUCUUGCAGACAAGGGGGAGAUAAGAGUCGGUAGCAGAUACCAAGCAGAACCAACACCUCUGCUUAGAGAAGAUGAAGAGGAUACAAGGAAUCUAGAAGAAUUAGAAACAUUGGUAUGGACACCAAAUCACCAUCUGAAUGAUAGGCAAAUUGACCAAUUUCUUGUAAUAUCGAGAUCGGUUGGAACCUUUGCACGGGCACUCGACUGUUCAAGUUCUGUGAAGCAGCCUAGUCUUCACAUGAGUGCAGCCGCAGCGUCAAGAGAUAUCACAUUGUUCCAUGCAAUGGAUACACUACACAAACAUUCAUACAAUUUAGCAGAAGCUAUUAGUUCACUGAUUCCAUCUACCGGUCCUGUACUAUGUCGUGAUGAAAUGGAAGAGUGGUCUGCAUCUGAGGCAAAUCUUUUUGAAGAGGCUCUUGAAAAAUAUGGAAAAGACUUCAACGAUAUUCGGCAAGAUUUUCUUCCGUGGAAGACUUUGAAAAAUAUUAUAGAGUAUUAUUAUAUGUGGAAAACCACAGAUCGUUACGUGCAGCAGAAGCGGGUGAAAGCUGUCGAAGCAGAAUCUAAACUAAAACAGGUUUACAUUCCAAACUACAACAAACCCAAUCCAGCUGUAAUUAACAACAAUAAGAAUGUUGUUAAUGGUAGCAGUAAUGGUGAAGCUGCUGUUGGUGGGAAAGCCUGUGAAUCCUGCAGUGGUACAGUCUCAAGCCAGUGGUAUGCCUGGGGACCAUCGCACAUGCAGUGUAAGCUGUGUCACAACUGUUGGCUGUAUUGGAAGAAGUACGGUGGACUCAAAGUACCAUCAAGAAUUGGAGAAAAUGACCCUGACAGUAAAAAGAAGUCUGGAAACAUGUCUGAUGAUGAGAGGGCUCCAUCAAACUUGACUUCUCAUCGACCACACAGGUGUAGUUUAGUGAAUUGUGGAAAAGAGUUCAAACUGAAGGCACACUUGGCAAGGCACUAUGCCACAGCUCACGGUUUGGCAAUACGUUCUGGUUCACCGAGGCCCAUCAUGAAAACCCGCACAGCAUUUUACCUGUGCACGACUCCAUUGACGAGACUCUCUCGUCGCCUUUGCAGGCACAUUAUACAACCUCGCCAUGCAGCCAGAGCGCCUUUCUGGCCUAUCAAUGUUGCUCACGUCAAGCAGGAAUGCCAGCUACAUAUGGGAGGGAAGACAAUGCUGGAACUGAAAGAGUUAAUGAGAUAUCGGAAAAAAGAGAGAGGUAGUGUAACCUACAUUGCAAACAGGUUGGGACAGUCAAAUCUUGUCACUCCUGAUUGGCUAAUCCUCACAGCCAAAGAUAUGCUGCCAAAACCUGAUCAUGUUUCUUUUCCAAAACCUCCAAAAGCACCAGAUGGCACUCUCCUGUAUGAACGUGUCCCAAAUAAACCAGAAGCUGAAAAAGCUGCCCUCAAUAAUGUACCUGCACCUCUUCUGAAGCGGCGAGCUUAUGAAGAAGUGAAUGGUAUGGAUGAUCUGGAAUGGGAUGAAGGUAUUGUUGUACCACAACCGGGCCCUCCUGCGAAACGACCCAAUAAAGAAAUAGCACCUUCGCGAGGACCAGAAAACUUCCCACCUGUGGUGGGGCGAUCUGUCAUCAAUCACCUGAAUGGAAAACCCAAAAUGGCAACAAUGAUCCGUUCUGGUAGUGGUCGAAAGCAAGUAACAUCUUGGACAGAUGCACCAGAUGAUGUGUACUUUAGAUCCACAGAGGGUACCAAGUGAGUGAACUCUUCGGUACAUUAGAAGACAUGCACAUCAAAAAACCCUUAGGUGAUACAUAUGCAAGAAAAUGAGAAGACAGUUGACGGGUACGGAACUGAGGCGGGCAGCCAGGAAACCGUGGAGAAAACUCAACUUCAAGGGGACAGAUGAAAUGGUGGUUAUUCUUGACUGACAAAAUGAUCCA